UGGUGAUGUUUCCACCAUCGUUGCUUAACUAUUUACAUAAUCAGAAUUACGUAAGUGACAUGGAAAAGCCACUGACUACCUCUGACAGCCAUGAAUAAAAGACAGGGACUAUAACAAAUGUAGUAAUCACAGCCAUGAAUAAAAGUUAGUCACCAAAACAGUAAUCAAUAAGCUGAAACAUGUGGAUCCCUCUUUGGCCCUCUGGCCCAGGGGCUAUUAUCUACAGAACUUUAGCACGUCAGAUGUGUCAACAACAAAGUGUUCCAGAACGGAACCCCCAGUCAGGGUGAAGGUGACAGCAUCUUGUUUUGUGUCUGUAGUUUGUUUCUCAGGAGGACCACCCUGGAUAAACUUCACAUACUGUAGAUAGUGAACCUGGGACUGCCCAGAGAUAAUGCAGAGAUAAUAAAGAAACAGUCAGACUGACACCUGAUCUUUAACUGGAGGGACACAUGUUGCAAGGACCAAACAGCUGUCUUGUUCUUAGAUGUCUGAGGCAUUGACCUGCUCACUGUCUUAGUCUACCUGGUUUCUCCACUGAGGCUUCUCAAGCCAGCAUGAGUGUCUGGAGUACUUUCUGAGGUCCUGGACUCCUCUACGUCUGGAGUAUGCCUGAGGUCCUGGACGCCUCUACGUCGGGAAUAUGCCUGAGGUCCUGGACGCCUCUACGUCGGGAAUAUGCCUGAGGUCCUGGACGCCUCUACGUCUGGAGUAUCCCUGAGGUCCUGGACGCCUCUACGUCUGGAGUAUGCUUGAGGUCCUGGACGCCUCUACGUCUGGAGUAUGCUUGAGGUCGUGGUCGCCUCUAUGUCUGGAGUAUGCCUGAGGUCCUGGACUCCUCUACGUCUGGAGUAUGCCUGAGGUCCUGGACUCCUCUACGUCUGGAGUAUGUGUGUCGUCGCCCCCCCUCCCCGAGUGUGCGGGAACUCCAUAGUGGGCUGUGUGGGGAAGCUCAGUGUGUCCCCCGGCCAGACACGAAGACUAGAAGCUUCUUGACGGUCAGAGACUCACAUCCCUGAAGAAGACACAAACAAAGACAAUAUGACCUAGGAUGAAUCUUGAGAGGCUGACGUACUUCUCCUAAACAUAAUGCAUUACUAUUCAUAUAUAAAAACAUUCUCUCCUUGAUCUCCUCUAUUAUGCCUGUUUCCAGGACCCAGAUUCAGCCGUGUCCUGGACUAAAAAUCAUCCAUGAUGAUUAAUCAGUUGCAUUGAAGAUUGAUGACAUUUUCCUUACACUCCACCCCAAUAAGCCAGUCCCUCCAGUAGCCAUACGUUAUGUUCUCAGCUAUUCUCUCAUCACUACCGGGGGCUGAGAAGUUCACGUGGAAGAGCGUGAGGUCUACUGCAGAGAGAGGUCUGGCUAGUAAUAUCUGCUUGAAUACAGCAGGAUGCCUCUAGCAAGCCCAAUGUAGCCAGUCCUCCUUUCAUUUGGUUUAAACAACAAAAAGGACAACACAGAGUGAGGGACACAAGAGACUGAGCUCAUAAAAGUAAUUACUGUAAAGGGUUUUAUCUCACAGCAGUGCCAAAAGUGACUAGGCCCAACUCAGCAGUUAUUGUACAAAACAUACUUAAUGGUCCACAUGACAACCAAACAUCCAAAUAGCCCCUCGCAGCAAACCGCACAAUGUCUUCCCUGUCCUCCCAUGUUUGGACAGGGCUGAGGACCCCCAGCGGACGCAGAAUUAAAGACUCCUCCUCCAUGACCUCACUAGCAGCCUCCAGGGUUGUGGCCGCCUUAAGCUGUGGGUUGAAUGACACGAUAUCACAAUGCAAAUCACAACCCCAGGCCUGUAUUCACAAAGCAUCUCAGAGUAGGAGUGCUGAUCUAGGAUCAGUUUCCCAUUUUAGAUCAUAAUGAAUAAGAAUAUACAGGUCACUGCCAAAAUAAAGGAAACACUUACUGCCUUUGUCAGUCGAUAGGAACAUUCGCCCGAGCUAUUUAGGAGGGAUAUCACACCUGGCACAAAUGGUUGUCUAGUUCUGUUUUUCCUGCUGAGGGGUGCUCUAUACCUGCGCCCAGAGGGGAGUAGUUCAACGUCCAGGUACAGGGGGUGGCUUGGGUCUAAAAUGAUUUUGUGAGCCUUGUGGAGGGCCCUGACCUUAAAGAUCUCAUCCAGACCUGUCUGUUUGACUCCAAGUACCUUGCUUGCUGUGGUAAUAAUCCUUCUCAGCAUAUUUCUCAGGCUGACAGUGGCAUUGCCAAACCAACAAACAUGAAAACAAUGUAAGCCAUAUGAUGUGUCCGUCUCAGUCACCAGAUCUCAACCCAAUUGAACACAUAUGGAAGAUUCUGGAGCAGAGCCUGAGACAGCAUUUUCCACCACAAUCAACAAAACACCAAAUGAUGGAAUUUCUCAUGGAAGAAUGGUGUUGUAUCCCUCCAACAGAGUUCCAGACACUUGUAGAAUCUAUGCCAAGGUACACUGAAGCUGUUCUGGCUCGUGGUGGCCUAACGCCCUAAUAAGACACUAAUUAUUGGCAUUUCCUUUAUUUUUGCAGUUACCUGUAUGUACAGGAAGGACCUGAUCCAAGAUCAGAACUCCUAGUCUGAGAAGCUAUGUGAAUACAAGCCCAGGGCUCAGGCUACAAACACAAACCAAUAUAUACGGCAAAGAACACAUGAACAUGUCACAUGCCUUCUCCAGCCUGGCUCGUAUUUCCUGGUGUGAUCUCGUCCAGGGCCACAGGAGCAGAGGGAAGACCACAGAUCAUGUCAAACGUUCUCCUGGACAGGAAGUGGGGCCAUAUCUCACCACUCAGACACUGGUCAUGCUCUCCACCAGCCUGUACAUUAUCCCAGGCUGAAACUAAAACAUGGUACAAGUUAAUACCACCUUAUUAAAAUAAGGGGGGUUUUUACUAUGGAAAGCACAUAAGAGGCCACCAAUCUAUGUAGUAAUAUACCAUAUAAGACCUUAUAGUUCACUCUGCUUGGAAUACACUGAAAGUGAUACAACAGGACAGUGUUCUAGGAUUAGAUAGAAAGUGUCAUAUUUGAACAUAUAAACAGUGCGAUCUUACAAUACUAGUGCAAUACUAGGCUUUUGCAGUGGUCUGGCCCCUGGAACAAACAACAGUCUUGGAUGGCUGCCAUCAACAGCCGAAUGAACUCCUGUGUUUAACCAUGUUGGUCGACUGACCCCUCACAUUGAACCUCUGAGGUUGAAUAGUUUCCAGCUGAAUGCCUUGGUGGCAGAGCGGAGUACGUCCUUUCGUAAAAUAAUCGGCGUGUUCUCUUCCAUGUUCUCCGGAUGGGACACCUGGGAGGCCACGGCAGACAGCAGUGUACCUGUAGGGGAACC
ensembl:lncRNA